rnacentral:rRNA from 1 species
AAUGAACGUUGGCGGCGUGGAUUAGGCAUGCAAGUCGAGCGGUAAGGCCCCGCAAGGGGCACACGAGCGGCGUAAGGGACAGUAAUGUGUAGGUACGUACCCCCGGGACUGGGAUAGCUGCGGGAAACUGCAAUUAAUACCAGAUGACGUCUCCGGACCAAAGGUGUGAUUCCGCCAGGGGAGCGGCCUACAUCCUAUUAGCUAGUUGGCGGGGGUAAUGGCCCACCAAGGCUCAGAUGGGUAGCAGGUGUGAGAGCACGACCUGCGUCACUGGGACUGAGACACUGCCCAGACACCUACGGGUGGCUGCAGUCGAGAAUCUUCGGCAAUGAGCGCAAGCUUGGCCGAGCGAUGCCGCGUGCGGGAUGAAGGCCUUCGGGUUGUAAACCGCUGUCAGAGGGGACGAAAUACUGGUGGGUUCUCCCAUCAGUUUGACCGAUCCUCAAAGGAAGGGUGGGCUAAGUUCGUGCCAGCCGCCGCGGUAACAC